rnacentral:misc_RNA from 1 species
GAUGAAGAACGCAGCAAAAUGCGAUACUUGGUGUGAAUUGCAGAAUCCCGUGAACCAUCGAGUCUUUGAACGCAAGUUGCGCCCGAAGCCAUUAGGCCGAGGGCACGCCUGCCUGGGCGUCACACGUCGUUGCCCCCCCAUCUACUCCUUCGGGAUUGCGGGGGGCGGAUGAUGGCCUCCCGUGCGCCUCGUCGCGCGGUUGGCAUAAAUGCCAAGUCCUCGGCGACACACGCCACGACAAUCGGUGGUUGCGAAACCUCGGUUGCCCGUCGUGUGCGGUCGUCGCGCAUCGAGGGCUCGAAAAAAUUGCCGGGCUCCGGCUCGGCUUUCAACGCGACCCCAGGUCAGGCGGGGUUACCCGCUGAAUUUAAGCAUAUCAAUAAGCGGAGGA